rnacentral:rRNA from 1 species
CAGACGGGUGAGUAAUGCAUAGGAAUCUACCUAGUAGUAUGGGAUAGCCACUAGAAAUGGUGGGUAAUACUGUGUAAUCCCUGCGGGGGAAAGAUUUAUCGCUAUUAGAUGAGCCUAUGUUAGAUUAGCUAGUUGGUAGGGUAAAGGCCUACCAAGGCGAUGAUCUAUAGCUGGUCUGAGAGGAUGAUCAGCCACACUGGAACUGAGAUACGGUCCAGACUCCUACGGGAGGCAGCAGUGGGGAAUAUUGGACAAUGGGCGCAAGCCUGAUCCAGCUAUGCCGCGUGAGUGAGGAAGGCCUUAGGGUUGUAAAACUCUUUCAGUAGGGAAGAUAAUGACGGUACCUA